rnacentral:rRNA from 1 species
UCUUACAGCCAUAUCACCCUGAAUUGCACCCAAACUCGUUUUGAGCUGGGAAGCUAAGCAGGGUCAGGGUGGAGUUGUACUUGGAUGGGAGACAACUAUAUUUUUAUUUCUAAAAGUU